AUUGAACGCUGGCGGCAGGCCUAACACAUGCAAGUCGAACGAGUGGCGGACGGGUGAGUAAUGUCUGGGACACUGCCUGAUGGAGGGGGAUAACUACUGGAAACGGUAGCUAAUACCGCAUACCAUCGGAUGUGCCCAGAUGGGAUUAGCUUGUUGGGUGGGUAACGGCUCACCAAGGCGACGAUCCCUAGCUGGUCUGAGAGGAUGUGCAGCAAGCCUGGAACUGAGACACGGUCCAGACUCCUGAGGGAGGCAGCAGUGGGGAAUAUUGCACAAUGGGCGCAAGCCUGAUGCAGCCAGGCCGCGUGUAUGAAGAAGGCCUUAGGUUUGUAAAUUACUUUCAGCGGGGAGGCGUUACCCGCAGAAGAAGCGCCGGCUAACUACGUGCCAGCAGCCGCGGUAAUAC
rnacentral:rRNA from 1 species